CAGCUGCCUGCCAGUGUACAAAACUGCCGAAGCCGCCAUCCUUGAAUCUUCUGAGGGGGGCGAAUUAAGAGGAGUCUUAUCCAGAUACCGCGAGAUCUGUGACGAAAUCCCCUGAAUGCCACGAGAGCUGCAAUGCAUCCUUAGUUAGAGUAGAACUGUGCAAGCAAGGACGUCUUAAUAAAAUUGCUCCUCGUUUCGGGGUUGAAGACUAUACGGAAAGCCAGCAAGUUAAAUGAUACAUAUUGGACUUCAAUGUGAAUUAAGUCUUUGUUUUGGUUUUUUUGUAAACUUUCGACAAAAUUGCAUAUUACAGCCACGUUAAUAAAACAACUAUUACUCUGUUUCCCAAGCUGA